rnacentral:lncRNA from 1 species
UAUAUGUUUCUAAGCGUAACUACGACACGUUUUGGCACACACUACCUACACAUUUAACAUCAUGAUAAUGUGUACACAUAUAUUUUAAUCUAAAGAUAUAUGUGUUUAAGCUUAACUACGACACGUUGUGAACACACUACCUACACAUUUAACAAAUGGGUUUAAAACCUGACAAUCAGUAUGCUGCUACUUUGAAAGUCGCAACUUUUCUAGUGUUUAAUGUGCACAAACUAUCAAUUCACAUUGGAUUCUUAUUCUGAUGAUAGCUGACGCAAUUGUCUAACGCAAUCAAAAG